rnacentral:rRNA from 1 species
CGUAGGGGGCGAGCGUUGUCCGGAUUUAUUGGGCGUAAAGAGCUCGUAGGCGGUUUAGCAAGUCGGGUGUGAAAACUCCGGGCUCAACUCGGAGACGCCACUCGAUACUGCUAUGACUCGAGUCCGGUAGGGGAGUGCGGAAUUCCUGGUGUAGCGGUGAAAUGCGCAGAUAUCAGGAGGAACACCGGUGGCGAAGGCGGCACUCUGGGCCGGAACUGACGCUGAGGAGCGAAAGCGUGGGGAGCGAACAGGAUUAGAUACCCUGGUAGUCCACGCCGUAAACGUUGGGCACUAGGUGUGGGGCUCGAUCGACGGGCUCCGUGCCGUAGCUAACGCAUUAAGUGCCCCGCCUGGGAAGUACGGCCGCAAGGCUA